rnacentral:rRNA from 1 species
CCUACGGUGUGCAGCAGUGGGGAAUAUUGGGCAAUGGGCGCAAGCCUGACCCAGCAACGCCGCGUGAAGGAAGAAGGCUUUCGGGUUGUAAACUUCUUUUGUCAGGGACGAAGCAAGUGACGGUACCUGACUCCUAAGCCACGGCUAACUACGUGCCAGUAGCCGCGGUAAUACGUAGGUGGCAAGCGUUAUCCGGAUUUACUGGGUGUAAAGGGCGUGUAGGCGGGACUGCAAGUCAGAUGUGAAAACCACGGGCUCAACCUGUGGCCUGCAUUUGAAACUGUAGGUCUUGAGUACUGGAGAGGCAGACGGAAUUCCUGGUGUAGCGGUGAAAUGCGUAGAUAUUAGGAGGAACACCAGUGGCGAAGGCGGUCUGCUGGACAGAAACUGACGCUGAGGCGCGAAAGCGUGGGGAGCAAACAGGAUUAGAUACCCCAGUAGUC